AUUAAUUAUACAUUCACAUAAUUAUCACGUACUCUUAGAUACAUUCACAAUUGUUAAGAACUGAACAUUAAGGAAUUCUUUUUGUGUAUUUUUGUUUUUUUUGACGAUGACAAGCAUCGUUGAACAUGUAAAACAAGGAAAAUAAACUUUCCCACCGAAUUUCUGAGUAAUCUUUUAGCUUUACAGUCUUUUUUGUUCACGGACGUAAAAAUAAAUGAUUCAUGAACUCAAAAAGAGUCUGCGUGCUGACAUUUUUCUUGAUAGAUGUGUUGGAUAGAGAAAUUAUUCGGCUCUUUAAUUUUCUCAUAUAAGAUAAGAUCCAUAAAUGAUUUUAAAAGCGAACUCGUAUUUAUUGGAUCUACAACUA